rnacentral:rRNA from 1 species
UAUAGAAUGACUCUCGGCAAC